rnacentral:rRNA from 1 species
AGUGAACGCUGGCGGUAGGCCUAACACAUGCAAGUCGAACGGCAGCACAGUAAGAGCUUGCUCUUACGGGUGGCGAGUGGCGGACGGGUGAGGAAUACAUCGGAAUCUACUUUUUCGUGGGGGAUAACGUAGGGAAACUUACGCUAAUACCGCAUACGACCCACGGGUGAAAGCAGGGGAUCUUCGGACCUUGCGCGAUUGAAUGAGCCGAUGUCGGAUUAGCUAGUUGGCGGGGUAAAGGCCCACCAAGGCGACGAUCCGUAGCUGGUCUGAGAGGAUGAUCAGCCACACUGGAACUGAGACACGGUCCAGGCUCCUACGGGAGGCAGCAGUGGGGAAUAUUGGACAAUGGGCGCAAGCCUGAUCCAGCCAUACCGCGUGGGUGAAGAAGGCCUUCGGGUUGUAAAGCCCUUUUGUUGGGAAAGAAAAGCAGCAGGUUAAUACCCCGCUGUUCUGACGGUACCCAAAGAAUAAGCACCGGCUAACUUCGUG